rnacentral:rRNA from 1 species
AUUGAACGCUGGCGGCAGGCUUAACACAUGCAAGUCGAGCGGAGAGAGGUAGCUUGCUACUGAUCUUAGCGGCGGACGGGCGAGUAAUGCUUAGGAAUCUGCCUAUUAGUGGGGGACAACAUUUCGAAAGGAAUGCUAAUACCGCAUACGUCCUACGGGAGAAAGCAGGGGAUCUUCGGACCUUGUGCUAAUAGAUGAGCCUAAGUCGGAUUAGCUAGUUGGUGGGGUAAAGGCCUACCAAGGCGACGAUCUGUAGCGGGUCUGAGAGGAUGUUCCGCCAAACUGGGACUGAGACACGGCCCAGACUCCUACGGGAGGCAGCAGUGGGGAAUAUUGGACAAUGGGCGCAAGCCUGAUCCAGCCAUGCCGCGUGUGUGAAGAAGGCCUUAUGGUUGUAAAGCACUUUAAGCGAGGAGGAGGCUACUUUAGUUAAUACCUAGAGAUAGUGGACGUUACUCGCAGAAUAAGCACCGGCUAACUCUGUGCCAGCAGCCGCCGUAAAAC